UAUUACACUGUGGUUAGAUACAUCAACAGAGAAAUACAAUCUGUGCAUGUCGAUUGUGGACUGUUGGCUAACCUGAUGUAACUGGAGCAGAAGUGGCGCAGUGUAGUUGUGGAUUGUGGUACAAGCAUUUGCGGAGAGGUGCUGUAUAGAGUCGAAAAUGUACUCUAAAUUGCUUUAGAUGAUUUUUCGUACUGCUUUGUGAAAGUGAUGGACAUAAAGUUUUAACAAAAUUGUGAUUUGAAUUGAAAUGCACAUAGUGAAGAGAUAAUAACCAUGUUGCCUGUUAUUUUUGCUUUCCUGCGCACAUAUGCACCUUACAUCACCCUUCCUGUAGCUGCCGUUGUCGGCGUAAUAGGUUACAAAAUCGAAGGCUAUGUAUCGGAUAAGUAUACACCGUAUCAGGGAAGUAUCGAAGAAAGAAGAGAAGAAAGACUGUUGGAUGAAAAACUAAGCAAAGAUGUAACGAAAGUUGAUAGUCUGAAAGAGAAGAAAUUUGUGCCACGAACCGUGUUUGAAAAAAAUGUAUCGCCUUCGCUAUUGAAUGAAUCAAAACAAUAGUUUCUGCAAUAAAAACAUGAAUGUCUAGACCUUUUGCUUGAAACUGUAGUUGACUUUGUUCACACCAGGGAAGUUUAGUGAAAAGUUUCGUUUAGAUGUAUACAAAUUUUUACGGUCGACAGAAAAACUGGUUGUCGUGGUUCUGUACUAUACCGUACUAAUUAAAGUAAAAAGUCGUGACAAGUAACAGCCGAAGUACUUAUACCAAAGGGUUAGCACGCCAGAUUUUACCAAUUUUACGUACAGAUUUAUUAACAUCGAACAUGGCAGCUAGUUUUUUCUUGGACUGAAAUAAAGUGUCCUAGCUUUGGUAAAACUGAGAAAAAUGCAUUAUUUGUGCUGAAGUUGUUGUAGAGCGCCCUAAUUUAAUUUCGCCAUUCAGUUAUGAAGAGAGAAUGAGCAUUACCCUAAGGGAGAAGUUAUUGCAGUGCAUAUCAGUACAGAGUGCCAGAUUAAGGUUUACAGAAAAUUUCGGCUGCAUUAGCCGUAGGUGUUGUAUUUUGUAAUGGAGUUUCCACUGUAAAUAUUGGUUAUAAUUGUGUGAAAAUUAAAUUGAUAACUGAGGUGUAAGUUUCUGUUGUUUUAUACAUUAUGUUGAGAAACUGA